CCGCCUUGGCUUGGUUUAUGUACACCGAGUAUGUUCAGCUCCAUCCUAUACAGAUUUUGGGACAUGUGCCUAGGGUUGAGGUUUCAUAUAUAGAAAGAACUGAACAAACUCGGUGUACAUAGACCAAACCAAGGCGGU